UUAAUAGUAAAAUCUGCUCAAUGAACUUUCAAUAGCCGCUAUUAGUGCUAAGGUAGCAUAAUAAAUUGUCUUUUAAAUGAAGACUAGAACAAAAGAUUUAACAUUUUAAUUAAUUUCUUUUAUUAAAAUAUUUAACUUUUCAUAAAAAUUAUAAAAUUUUUAUUUAAUAAAAAGACGACAAGACCCUAUUGAACUUAACUUUAGUUAAACUGGGGCAGUAAAUUAAUUAUUAUUUUAAUUAAAAUAAUUUUUUAAAAAACCUAAUAAUUGAUAAAUAAGUUACCAUAGGGAUAACAGCGUAAUAUUAUUCUAAAGAUCUUAUAUAAAAUAAAGAUUACGACCUCGAUGUUGAAUUAAUAACUUAUUUAAAGCAAAAUUUAAAAUAGGAAGUCUGUUCGACUUUUAAAUAAUUACAUGAUUUGAGUUCAGACCGGUGCAAGCCAGGUCGGUUUCUAUCUUUUAACAAAAUUCUUAUAGUACGAAAGGACCUAAAAAUUAAAUUUAAUUUUUCUAUUUGGCAGAAUAAUGCAUUAGAAUUAGAAUCUAAUUAACU
rnacentral:rRNA from 1 species